rnacentral:rRNA from 1 species
UACGGAGGGGGCGAGCGUUAUUCGGAAUUAUUGGGCGUAAAGGGCGCGUAGGCGGCUUGACAAGUCAAAGGUGAAAUCCCUCGGCUCAACUGAGGAACUGCCUUUGAAACUGUCUGGCUUGAGGCCGGGAGGGGGUAGCGGAAUUCCCAGUGUAGCGGUGAAAUGCGUAGAUAUUGGGAGGAACACCAGUGGCGAAGGCGGCUCACUGGACCGGUACUGACGCUGAUGCGCGAAAGCGUGGGGAGCAAACGGG